rnacentral:rRNA from 1 species
AUGAUGGAGGGUGAUGUAAUGGACUUCCUCAUUGAUGAUUGGAAGCAAGAUCCCAAGAGAAAUGCUGAUUUCGCAUCUGGGAAAAGGGUAUUGCUGAGUCCAUAUUUCAUCACGAUCAUGAUGCCUCUAUUCAAGCCUAUGAUUUUAGCAAAGGAUAAGAAAGUGAACCACUUUUCCUUAUAUGUCAUGAAUCGGUACCGAAGUAGCGUUGACAUCCUUGACUCUUUACCUUAUCCGAAGAACCGCCGUCCUUCAAAGAACACCUAUCAUAAAGACUGCGACAAGAUUAUUUCUAUAUUAGUCCAAGUAAUGAAGGUUGUGUAUGGUGAUGCUCAAGCCGCCCAAGUGGGAGCUGUUUGCAAAGAAACCAAUGUUUGUCAAGGUUCCACUUCAAGGGCCGAAUUAAUGUGGCCACUAUACUCUGAAGUAUGCGGUAUCCUAUGA